GACGAACCGAGCGAACGUUGUUCGGAAUCACUGGGCUUAAAGGGCGCGUAGGCGGGCCCGCCAGUCUGUGGUGAAAUCCUCCGGCUCAACCGGAGAACUGCCUCGGAUACUGCGGGUCUCGAGGGUGAUAGGGGUAUGCGGAACUAUCGGUGGAGCGGUGAAAUGCGUUGAUAUCGAUAGGAACUCCGGUGGCGAAGGCAGCUCGCUGGGACGUUACUGACGCUGAGACGCGAAAGCGUGGGGAGCAAACAGG
rnacentral:rRNA from 1 species